GAUGAACGCUGGCGGCGGGCCUAAUACAUGCAAGUCGAGCGAACAGACGAGGAGCUUGCUCCUCUGACGGUAGCGGCGGACGGGUGAGUAACACGUGGAUAACCUACCUAUAAGACUGGGAGGACUUCGGGAAACCGGAGCUAAUACCGGAUAAUAUAUUGAACCGCAUGGUUCAGUAGUGAAAGACGGUUUUGCUGUCACUUAUAGAUGGAUCCGCGCCGCAUUAGCUAGUUGGUAAGGUAACGGCUUACCAAGGCAACGAUGCGUAGCCGACCUGAGAGGGUGAUCCGCCACACUUGAACUGAGACAAGGGCCCGACUCCUAAGGGAGGCAGCCGUAGGGAAUUUUCGGCAAUGGGCGAAAGCCUGACGGCACACCGCCGGGUGAGUGAUGAAGGUCUUCGGAUCGUAAAACCCUGUUAGUAGGGAAGAAAAAAUGUGUAAGUAACUAUGCACGUCUUGACGGUACCUAAACAGAAAGCCACGGCUAAAUACGUU
rnacentral:rRNA from 1 species